rnacentral:lncRNA from 1 species
CCAGUGGGACCCAAAGUUGCAUGGGAUGAAGGCAACUGGUUCUGCAAGAGAAGCUCAUGUGCUCCUGAAUCCCAGCUUGCACCAUCUUGUCACAGUUUCAGGCAAGUGAGCAGCUCUGAUGAGGUGGCCACUGUUAUAACCCAGCAAAGAACCAUAUGAAGACAAGUUUUCAUGGGCUGUCCAGGUUGCAGCUGUACUGUUUUGAAAGGCUUUGAAGUCCUUGUUUGCUGAAGUCACUUGGGCAACCGAAGUCCCAGUGACAUUCAUGGAGAUGGGAACUCCUGGAUUCCUCUUCAUCUAAGAUUCCUGAUACAGCAUCUUAAGUCAUCAAUACAGCAUCUGGAGUCAAAUGUUUUUGAGGUCCCUGUGAUUCUGCAGUGCUGGUGUGCCAGAAAUACGUGUCAGUGUCCUAGAAGGAUGACCAGGAAGGGGAAGCCCACACAAGGUUGCAACUGAACAAGAACCAAGGUUGAAGUGCAAGCUGCCCUGCACGCUGGGAUGGCAUCCUCC